rnacentral:lncRNA from 1 species
CAAUAUUUCUUUCUUUCAUAAGAAAAAGGUUUUGCCUAUAAUCAAUUCACUGAGCAAGACAUACAGACUUCUGUCCAAUGCUAUGAAAAUUAACCAAGGCACAUUAACUGCAGGAAAUCUUCAAAGGUCUCCUCCUACAGAUGUUCUGAACACGUCUGCAUCCCAGCGAUUUUUUGCUGUGGGCAGGUCUUGAAAACUAGAGCUCAGGCACUUCUGGAUUAGUCUUUUC